AGGAGUUGGAGCGCGCAUCCACUGCAGACACAAUGCAUGGAGGGGAGGGAAGUCAGAGGAGCACAAGCACCUAGUUUCCAGAGGACCAGAGUAGAGAGCUUGUGAGACACUAGGAGAGGCAGAUGUGGAUGGAGUGUCGCUCACCUCAGAAGGAGUGAAGGAGUUUCAACAUGUCUGCUUUCUGAGUCCCAAACUGUACCUACUAAGAGUGGCUUUCACAGUGAAACACAGCUAGCUUUUCAGUGCAAAGGAAAGGACUAAGACACACAUGGUGCUGGGUCUUUACAGAUAUUGAAAAAAUUAUAAUAAAUGAGUUUAGAACACAGCCUUGCUUAAUUCUUCUGUAAGAAAGGAUGCAGAGAUCCAAAGAGGCACCACACAGCUUAAUGCCAGAUGUCUUAUCAAAGCAUGACAAGAUAUGUGAUAUCAGUACAAACAAUUGUAAACAAGAAGUAAGAAAUCCAAGGCACUUUGAGUUCUGAGUGUAUUAAAUACACAUUAAGUAAGAGUACAUUGAUUCAGUUUUGUAUUUAAGAACUGUCUUUUAAUUUACUGGAUGAUUAGAAGAGAUGGUUAAUCUUUGUACAGUGCCCACAUGAAACAUGUACAGUAGCUCAUACUGGUCCCAGAAAAUGAAGUCAUUAUAAAUCACUGUGGUAUUGUAUUUGUUGUUUGUAUUCAUCAGUGAUGGUGUACACAACAUGGUCUAAUUAUGUCAGUUAAAAAUGCAGCAAUUCAUGAAAUAAAGUUAAUUUUACUGGUGUAUUGUACCCUCUCUUGCCAUAGUUAAAAGCAAAAUGUCUUAAAUAAGUGGAGGGAGUUAUCAAAUACCCACUAACUUAAAGAAAUAGUGUGUUGUAGGAUGUGUAGAUUGUUAUGAAUAAUGGGUGAAUAUUUUAUUGGAAUUUGACAUUUUUACUGAAUUGAUUCAGUCACAUAUUAAGGCAUUUUGAAACUGUCCUCUAAGGAACUGAAUGUCAUCAAUUUACAUUCUAAUGUUUCAUUUUGAGGGGAGUCUUCUGAACACAGCACACAAAACAAGGCUAGGGCUUUAAUUUUCAGUACAGUCAUAGUUAGGUUGUUGGCCUGUUUAAGAAUUCCUUGUAUGACGUGUAUAAAUACAAUUCAAUGCAAGUUGCCAGAAGUAAGAUCUAUAGUAUUUUAAAUAUAUAACAAUAAGUGAUAAGAUGCUAAGAAAUUUGAAUUUGAACAAUAAGUCGGUUACACAGCCUGUCCAGUGUCACCCUGUUCCCAUGUCACUGCAGAGAUGCAACCAGCUGAGUGUCUAAGUGCAGGUCAGUGGGGUUAGGACUCACAGCAAGUUUCACGCUAAAUAGUCAUUUAAAAUUGUCAAUACAUUUUAGUUAAUAAACAGAUCAGUCAGGUUCUGGCCCUGCACAAAUUCACAUGCACAAUAAAAACAUUGUGCAUUUGUAAUGCAACAUUUCUAAUUUAACAUGUUUGUGCAUUUGUAAUGCAACAUUUCUAAUUUAACAUGUUUGUGCAUUUGUAA